AAAAUAUAUGUUGGUCAUUUACUUAUACUAUGUUGUGUUUUUGAAUAGUGUUAUGCUACCCUCUGACUUUGUGAAGCUAGUUAACUCUCUUUGGCCUCUUUCCUGAUUUUAUUUAGGGCACAUAUACUCUUCACUUUGAUACAAAAGACAUUAGAAGCUAAUUUAGACCCCUUUUGCAUGAAGUGUGUUGAUUUGUUUGCGAGGUUUAUUCUCUGUUUGUCAAGAUGUUAAUCAUCAUGUAGUCCAAAGCUCACCAACCUUUUUUGGGCAGUUCCAUGGGCUCCUGCUGGCUCCAAGUUUACAAGAAAUCCAACACCGCCUUCUUGGAUCGAGAUAGUUUAUGAUUAUGGACAAGAAGCCGAGGAGGCUCUCUGAUCCUUUCCAUUGUGCAACAAAUAAAGGUUUGAGGUGGCAUGUCAACUUCUAAACAACCAUCUUGUUUGUAUUUUUUUAAAGUGUGAUCGCUUAGAAGCUGAAGACAUUUUUGUAUUUGCAGUUGAUCUGUGUUUUGUUCUUUUAUUACGUGACUCUGAUGUUAAAGAACUAAAGAUUGCAUGUUUUAAUCUCGAAUCAAAAUCUAUGGCCAACAUUUUC